rnacentral:lncRNA from 1 species
AACUGAAGCAACAACAACUGAAGUAACAACAACUGAAGAAACAACAACUGAAGCAACAACAACUGAAGAAACAACAACUGAAGCCACAACAGCUGAAGUAACAACUAAAGCAACAACAACUGAAGCAACAACAACUGAAGAAACAACCACUGAAGCAACAACAACUAAAGAAACAACAACUGCAGCAACAACAACUGAAGAAACGACUACCGAAGCAACAACAACUGAAGAAACAACAACUGAAGCAACAACACUGAAGCAACAACAACUGAAGCAACAACAACUGAAG